rnacentral:rRNA from 1 species
GAUGAACGCUGGCGGCGUGCCUAAUACAUGCAAGUCGAGCGAACAGACGAGGAGCUUGCUCCUCUGACGUUAGCGGCGGACGGGUGAGUAACACGUGGAUAACCUACCUAUAAGACUGGGAUAACUUCGGGAAACCGGAGCUAAUACCGGAUAAUAUAUUGAACCGCAUGGUUCAAUAGUGAAAGACGGUUUUGCUGUCACUUAUAGAUGGAUCCGCGCCGCAUUAGCUAGUUGGUAAGGUAACGGCUUACCAAGGCAACGAUGCGUAGCCGACCUGAGAGGGUGAUCGGCCACACUAGAACUGAGACACGGUCCAGACUCCUACGGGAGGCAGCAGUAGGGAAUCUUCCGCAAUGGGCGAAAGCCUGACGGAGCAACGCCGCGUGAGUGAUGAAGGUCUACGGAUCGUAAAACUCUGUUAUUAGGGAAGAACAAAUGUGUAAGUAACUAUGCACGUCUUGACGGUACCUAAUCAGAAAGCCACGGCUAACUACGUG